UUGCCGCCGUCUGAUAUAACAUACCAAAGGGGAAGGGGUGGUGGGGGUUCGUUUGGCUUGGCGUCGUCGUCGCGCGCGCUCCGGUGACGGCGGCGGGCCGGCAUGGCCGUGGAGGAAGUCCUCGGUUGGUCGCUGUGCAACUUGACGCCUCAUCAUCUCGGCUCGGCCAAAGGGAGAAUGAAGAUACAAUACAAUACAGGAAGAGCGGCCUCCGGUCGCCGUGGUGUGCGUGUGUGUGUGGGCUGGAUGCCCUGUUCUCAGCUAGCGCUCUCCUAUCCUAUCAGAUUCAGAGCAGGGUUUUGCUGAUGUUCUACGUUUUGUUACUCGCUAUCACCAGAAAUAAAAAAGUUCCUUGCAGUUUGUUCUAAUUCCUACCAUCGUUGCAACAUUGGAUAUAGUGUCUAAGAACAGGAGAACCUGUAGAAAAUAGACAAGCACAGAAACUGUACUCGAAAUCGUCUGAAAUGCGAACUAGUGCAUUUUCCUUGCGAAAAUCCCUACAAAAAAUCUUGUGGUAGGCGUGCGUGGCCGCACUAAAAGAAAAUGUGCCCCGGUCGGUGCAGAGAACCCGUCCCGUCCGCUCACUGUCUGACGUGUGGUGUGGUCCGGCCCUACGAGUAGGCCUCGUGCCUAUAGGAGCGUUCCAGCACUGCUUCCCCACUAGCACAGAGCCGUGCAAUUUUAUCACACAAGACUCGAGAAAUCCACGAGAUCGCGGAUUGGUAUUGCUUGAGCGCCCGGUGAUCCCCGUUGCACUCCAGCCGACCACCACCGACUCCUGCGGCGCCUAGAAUUUCCCGUGCUCCAGCGAUAGGGCGCGACCGGGGUGAAACUGAAACCAGUGGCAAUACCAUUGGGUCCCCACCGCGGGUGCCCGUGAACCUUAUCGUGGCGCAUGCCUCCCGCACCGACCGACGGCAUGGACGCCGUCGUCUCUGCUAGCCUUUCUUUCUUUCUUUCUUUUAUUUAACGCGGCGGUGAUCGACAGCGACCGGCGGCGCGGGAAGCUCCCGCAGGGCUUGCGGGUCUGUUCGCUUCAGCUUAUAAACCGGCUGAAAAGCUGAAAUGGCUGAUUUGUUGUGAGAAAAAAACACUGUUUGGUAGCUGAUAGGCCGGAUGAACAAGCUGAAGCGAACACGCCGUGCAUAGUUGCAUCCGGCUGGCUCCGUUCUCGGAUCAACUUGGGCUGAGGGCAAUUGACAGUGAACGGGCCUGGCCAUUGAAUAUUUGAAUUGAGCACCAGUGGUAGCUCAAAUUUACCACGCGCAGGUCGGCACACGGAAGGAUCAGGAAGGUAAGGCGACCUGGACCAGUCAUCAGUUCAUCACAUGACGCGCUGCCAAGAUACCCUCCAGGCUCCAGCAAAAGAAAAGCUGUUGGGAAUGGGCCGCCCUGCGUGGGAUCAAUCCCCGAGAAGAUCAGAUAUUAUAACGUGGCACUAAAAAAGAAUAAAGUAGCCGCCGGGAUUGUCUCACAAAAGAAUAAAGUAGCCGUCGAGAUUGGUCUCAAAAAAUAUUAAAGUUUCGGCGUGUUCAGAUCCGACAACCUAUCGAGGCUACCCGAGUUAGGGUUGAGUGCGCGAGACUUGUCAAGAUUAGGAAUUUGAAGGUAAACACAGACAUACGAUUUAGACAAGUUUGGAUCGUUAGAUUGCGUAAUACCCUACUUCUUGUGUGUCGGUUGGAUUGAAUUGCCUUGAAGAGGAUCCCUGCCUCGCCUUAUAUUAUCGGGAGCAGGGUUACAGGUUGGUUGAUUUAUAAGAAUACUAGUCGAAUUCGAUUAGAUAAGGCAUACUCUAAUUAUUACGAGUAGUUUUUCGAAUUCUCGACUAGUUCCUAUCUUACCACGUAAAUCAUACCAUCCUGCAUCAUAGUCUUCACAUCUUGUACCAGUCCUGUACCUAGAACUCUCCAAAUCUCCUGAUGAACUCGUAGAUGUAUAUACGACGGCCGCCGAGGUUCGAAUGCGAACGGUGCAGGUCAUCUGGCUAGUUGGUGUGCAAAUUUUAUUUGAAAUGCUGUAGUCCACCGACGAACAAAUACUUCAGCCCAUUUUUAAGUCAUCUCUUGCUAUUUUAUCCUUCCCGAGAUACCCAUUGCCGACAGCAUCAAUUAGUUGCUAUUUUAUCCUUCCCGAGAUACCCAAUACUGACAGCAUCAAUUAGCGUCCAUAUAGCUUUCAGUAAAAGAGAAGGCUUCUGGGCAAUAAUGAACACAGCUGAAAGGGAGUGUCAAUUUUCUUCAACACAUGCGUAGUGCGAUUUUCUUACUACGCCAUAACCUUUAGUACUGUCUUAAGCCCGCUCAAUAUGUGCAAACAGAUUAUCAUCUGGACCACAGAAAUCUGAAGGAAUGCAAACAUACACAGCCCAUACAGAUACAGAUCACCACACAUGGGCCACAAACUACCCAUUAACACCCACAGUAAGAACCACAAGCAUUGGGCGUGAGCAAGAGCUGCUUCCAAAGCAAAUCUCAAACAGAUCGGAGGGUUCGUCCAAUUUUUUGGGCAAUCAUAUUGCAAUAAGACAACGUCCUCACGACACCUAGAUAUAUCAGACGCAAAACAGAUACACAAUCUGAUCUCACACUGCUGGAACACGGAGGACAAUCCGUCGCUGAUACAUCAACAUGCAGACUCAUAAGAUUAUCGCCUUACCGGCUUCCAGCUUGGCUGCAGACGACUCAGAGAAAAGGGGGACAUACAGGAGAGUAACCGGAUGUAGGCAUGCAAGGGUGAUCGCAUUGGCUGUGCCAAUCACCCAGACUUGAAUAGCAAGACGGCUUUGGAAUCGAUGUAGAAGUAUACAAAGUAGUUUGUCUCAUGCGUUACAUACGAACCUGCAAUAGACGAAAAAUGGUUAGCAAAAGCGUGGGCGUUCAAUAUACAUAUCAUGGACUCAUAAAUGGAAGAGGUUAAUAAGUUCUCACUAUUUUCAGCUUAACUUUUCCAUUCCCAAGCUAUGCAUAUGCCACUAAAGUUCAGCGGUCAACAUAACCACAUACUCCACAACCAAAAGGAGUAACUGGAUGUUUUUAAUGUAGAUUAACAAAUCCAACCAAUUUAUAAUGGAGAAACUCUAGCAGGACUUGGCAUAUGUUCUGUCUCACUGCUAGAAUAACUAUCCCAUGUUACAGAAAUGGUAUUUAGACAUAGUAAACAAGAUGCCGGAUAAAUAUCAAACAAAGGCAGAAGAGGCUAACGCUCUUCUAACUUGCUAAUUGAUCAUUUCUCGAGCUAUGAGAAGUAAUUUAAGAUAAAAUUUCUCCCAUAAUCCUAUCAUAAUAGAGUAAAACAGAAACAUGUAGAAAUUAAGACAGCUCUUCAUUGAGUUUUAUAAUUAGUUUGUGAAGUAGAAUCAGUCAAAAAUAUCUGGAAACUACGACAGCUCAUCACUCAGUCUUAGAAUUAGAGAAACAAUUUAAGAAAAGAUUUCUCCCAUAGUCCUAUCCUAAUAGAGUCAAACAGAAACAUGUAGAAAUUAAGACAGCUCUUCACUGAGUUCCUAUCCUAAUAGAGUCAAACAGAAACAUGUAGAAAUUAAGACAGCUCUUCACUGAGUUUUAUAAUUAGUUUGUGAAGUGGAAUCAGUCAAAAUAUCUGGAAACUACAACAGCUCAUCAUUCAGUCUUAGAGUUAGGUUGAGAUACAAUCAGUGCAAUCAAAUAGAAACAUCUGGGAACUAAGACAGGUCGCCGAAGUGUCUUAGGAUUAGUUUGUGUGACAGAAUCAGUCAGUUGUGAGUGUGUCAUUCUCUCUAACGUUUGUCCUUCUCUUCUUAUUAGUAAAAAGAAAGCUGAAGUGCUGCCCAAGUUUGGAACAACAAAGGGUGACCAAAUUUAAAGGAAAAAAAUAAAAAAGGACUGGAAUUCAGAGACAGCAACAACCAGCCUCUUGUUUCUAUGCCAUCGAUAGAGAAAAACCUUUUUAAUUUUGCUAAUACUUUCAGUGCUAAAAUGUGUGCUCAAUCAAAAGGGACAUUCAGCCAUUGGUCAAAUCUUUCUAGCCUUGUCAGAGUGGCAGAAUUCGUAAGAAUUUGGUGACUUGUUGCAGUACACCAAUUAUCAGAAGCACACUCCAAAAUUUAUUAACAGAUAUUGGCCCAGAACGAAAAAACCAAUAAAAAAUGUGCAGAUUUGAGUUAUGGCUAUUUUAUGAUAAUUGACAAUGCCUGAAAGAAAACCAAAAUAGUGUAUGUCUGACUUGCUUGUAGAGAAUGCAAAGGAAGGAGAGAAAGAAAGCAAUGAUAUGCUUUAUUUGUUAUGCACGAUAUAGAAGUUGCAGUGAUAAGACCUAGCUACUAGGCAUGCUGGAAAAUUUCCAAUAACAAUAUAAUUUGGCAUCUUGAUCGAGAAGAAGCUAGAAUGGGAGAUAAAUCAGGAAAUUAUAAAUGAUCCAAUGCUACACGUAAAGCUAUAUAGCAUGUAGAAGAAUAUGAACACAGUCGAGAAAUUGCUAUAAGAAAAUAUGACCUGAAGUAUAAGAUUAAACAUUUUGUAGAGGAGAGUCGAAAAACGAACAGCUAAAACUUAUGUUUGAUAAGAACAUAGCCACAUAAUUGCAAUAAAAAAACAGAACAAAUGCAGAGUUAAACAGUUGCUGCAAAACACAAAAGCUGUUCAAUCUGGUACUGAAAAUUGUUAGCUUAGAUCCAAUAUCACAAAUUGGUUAGGCCAAUUGCAUUAGAGGUCUCUAAACUUCCUUUAUUGCACUGCUAAUUGCAGGAGUGUUUGUCAAGUGAAUAAGUAAUGUGCCAUGCCAGUUGACACGGAAUAUAAGUGACAUGACAGUAUGACAGUCAGCAUGCCCAGUCAGUUGCAAGUCUACAUAAAAUGCCAUGCCAUUUCUUUGUUACAUCUGAUUAACAGAGUACAGUGACACUAAGUUAAGGAACUGAAAAAUAAAGCAUGUGCUACUAAUUUAUUGAAACAAAAAAUUUAGUUUUAGAUAAGAAAGAGUUGAACAAAAAAUUGAAUAAGUCAAUUAAAAAUGUGUAAAAUUGAAUGAUACUCCCUCCGUUUCAAAAUGUAGGUCAUUUUUGCUUUUCUACAUAUAUAGAUUUUGCUAUGUAUCUAGACAUAACACUAUAUUUAGGUGCAUAACAAAAUCUAUGUAUCUAGAAAAGCCAAAACGACUUACAUUUUGGAACGGAGGGAGUAGCUCGCUAAGUUGGAUUUGGUUGAUAUCAGGAAUAGCCUACCCUGUUGGCUGAGCAAAGCUUAGAGAAUGCUUACAUAAAGUUUUUAGAAUUUAAGCCAAGCCAGAAGCAAGGAGGUAAACUUCAAAUUCGAGAAAUAAGACAUUGUCAUACUUGCACUAUACACACUCCCGGAAACAAUACUUCACCCACUCCAUUACAGGUGCUACAUUCAAUAAAAAAAGAUACAGGUCAUUCAACAUUCCCUUGUCAAAUUUGAAGCAUAAUUUCAGUUGACUGCAAUAACCGUUUCAGCUUCUUCAGUUUUCCUAGUUCAUUUCCUCCUGUGUACAACUUAUUUGUGGGGGUGAGGGUGGGGAAUGAGUUUCCUGUGGCUUCUAUUGACAGCAUAAGCAGUCCUACAAGGUCCAUUCAAUCAAUCACGUGCGGACCUUUAUUGGGCCAGGCACGGACGAAAUCGACCAUGGAAUAACCAACGACGCAAAGCAUACCAGACCAGAUAUCAACAACUGUCCUCAGGACAGGCGCAAUCAUCCCACAUGUUCCGCGCUAAUUAAGGAGUCCUCCCGGACAAGAGGAGAGCAUUACCGAAGUUGCGGCCGACGAUGCAGUGCCAGGUUGGGCCGUGGUUCUUGUCGAACUCCUUCUUGAUGUACUCCGCGAUGUCCUUCUCCAUGGUGUGCUUCUCGAACGCCUGACCGAAAGAGCGAGAGGUUGAAAAAAAAAUCCCCCGAACCCCAACGAACAACUAGUAAUAUGAAAACCAAAUCGAGAGCAGGAAAGAAAGCAAUAGUGAGAGCAGAGGCACGAGGUUCGUACGAUGCGGGCGAUUUCGAAGGCCUCCUGCCGCAUCUCCUCCUUCAUAUCGGCGCUCUUGAGCUGGAUCUUGUGCCCCGCCGCGGCCGGCGGCGGGGACCCCGCGCCCACCGGCUUGCGGUCCUCGGAGGAGGCCCGGAGCGCCGCCUGCGCGGCGCCCCCGGCCCCGCGCCUGGCCUCGUCGGACAUUCUCGAGGGCGGGUGGAGCAGAGCUGCCGGGCACGCUUCUCCUCCCUCUCGAGGAAUCCUCUCCUCGCUUUUUUGGCGAUGGUGGGCGUCUGGGCGAGGACGAGAAGCAGACACCGUGGGCGUGCGCGUGCGCGUUGCAGUGGAAUCUGCCUAGCAGCCGGCGGCCAGAGAGAAGAGAGAAGGUGAAAGUGUUGAAACUGGGAACUUUGGGCUGAGCCAUGGGCCUCCAUAUACAGAACCGGCCCGAAAUAAAGAGUCCAUGAGGUUGGUCCAGUUCCGUUUGCAAUGUGAGUAUUUUGCGAAACCGUUGCAGAAAUUUUAAGUGGAGCAGUUCAGCCCUCGUAGAGUCGAGAGUAAGACAAGAACAGUCAUGAGUUCCAAAUAUGCCUUCUUUAUAAAAAAAAAUUUGUCGUUAACAGUGCGCGUGUGUGUCUCCAGCAACUUCUAAUGUGACCCAAAUGGCCAAAUGUUACGGAGCCCUACGUGUUCUGGAGUUUCAAAGAGACGUAUGAAGACCACGAUGCAAAAAUGAUGUCUGCCUUUUCUCUGUCCGGUCAUCCAGGGUGUCACCUGGAGUUUUCAAGGUGUAUUUGGUUGCAUGCACCACAUGAUAUAUGCAUAGAUGAUUCUACAUGAGUGGUUCAACCAAUUUGCUUGUACCAUAUGGUUCAUUCUAAUUAGUAGAAUAAUGUAACACAGUGUUUUACCAUACAUUUGCAUAUCAACAGUCUCGCAAACCUGCAAACCUUCAAGGGUAUUAUAGUCAUUUCUUACCAAAAUUACAGUAUCACAGCUGUUUCAAUCAAACGGCUUUCAGCUUUUUCACACCUCAUAGCAUCUUUUCCAUAACCCGCAGCUCACAUCAACUUUUUCACAGCUCACAGUUCAACAAAAUAGACCAUAUAUAAGUAUGUUCGUGUGCUUUCAAAUUGCACGGGCAUCCUAAACUUACCCUCAGCUGCAAUUUAGGUCCAUGUGUUUGCAAAUGCUGAUCUAAGUAACUGAAUUUAGCUUAAUUGAUUAUUUUUUCUUAUGAUGGAACCUGCUUACCUGACUUCAAAUGCACUGAGUGCUCAUAUUUUUCUAAAUUUAUUUUAGGAAAUAAUAACUAUGUUUUUUAAUGGUUAGCGAUGUACCCGUCAAUAACGAGGUCCUUAUGUUUCGUCAAUCUCAAAAUCUGUUAGUUCAAUCUCUCUGAGAUAUGGUCAUAGGGAUAGGACGUGUGUGUUUGUAUGGAAAAGUUGACUUCACUUUUUUUUUGCUAGUUUUUUUCCAUGCAACACCUUCACAUCUAGAGACCUCCCAUAAAAGUACAUAUAUAGAAGCCUACAUACAUGCAUGCACAAUUACACAAUAUACACCUUUAGAGGAUCCGCUGAGGCUACUAGGGUCCCGUUUGGCAGAACUCUCAAAACUGAUUCUCCACUAAAUCCAGUAGGAACUCUGCCAAACAGUUUUUUAGAGAGAAGUAAUUCUCUAAUGAUUCUGUGAAGUAAUCCUCUGAAAUGAACUAAGAGGCUGGGAGCUGAAAAAAGUAGUUUCUCCUGAUUUUGUGAAGUAAUUCUCCAUUCUAAUUUUAAGAGUUUAUGCUAGAGAAUUAAAUAGAAUCGUUUUCAACACUUUUCUCAGAGAAUCAGAUGGAGUUCUAACCAAUAUUACGUGCGAAUGGUGGGGACGUUGUUUUUUAUGGAGGGGGUCAUGUUGGAGACAAACUUUGCUCAAAAAAUUGUUUUAGUUCCCAAACUAUCGAAAGGGUCAAUUUAGUCCCUGAAUUGUUGUUUGUAGUUCAAUCUAGUCGUUAGUCUUACAUGGCAUGCCAUGUGAGCUGACCGGUAUGCCCACAUGCAAAAUGUCCAUAUUACCCGUCCUCUUUUUUCUCACCCUCUCGCUUCCAUGCGGAUCCCACCUCUCAGUUAAAAAAAAAA
rnacentral:lncRNA from 1 species